GGGCAACUCAGCAACUUUUCCUCUGCACAGGUAUGCGGUUCCUGCCCCAGACUGUGGUAUGUGUCAAAACUCAGUAAAAAGAAAAAAAAGGCCUAGCGCACAAGACAGCCUUUAAAGGGCAGCGCAAUGACGUGAACGUGAGGCCGGAAGAAGGACGUUCCUACGUCCGAAACAGCCGGCGUAGCCUCUGAGCGCCCCUCAUCCUCUCUGUUUAUGCCGUGGUGAUCCCGGACCUUGGGCCUGCAGCUAUUUA